AGCAGCCGCGGUAAUUCCAGCUCCAAUAGCGUAUAUUAAAGUUGUUGCAGUUAAAAAGCUCGUAGUUGAACUUCAGGCCUGGCUGGACGGUCCGCCCUCUGGGUGAGCACUGUCUGUGGUCGGGUCCUACCUUCUGGCGAAGCGGCAUGGCCUUAACCGGCCGUGGCGGGGAACCAGGACUUUUACUGUGAAAAAAUUAGAGUGUUCAAAGCAGGCACGCGCUUGAAUACAUUAGCAUGGAAUAAUGGAAUAGGACAAUGGUUCUAUUUGUUGGUUUCUAGGACCGUUGUAAUGAUUAAUAGGGAUAGUUGGGGGCAUUAGUAUUCAAUUGUCAGAGGUGAAAUCCUUGGAUUUAUUGAAGACUAACUACUGCGAAAGCAUUUGCCAAGGAUGUUUUCAUUAAUCAAGAACGAAAGUUAGGGGAUCGAAGACGAUCAGAUACCGUCGUAGUCUUAACCAUAAACUAUGCCGACUAGGAAUCGGGCGAUGUUGACAAAAUGACGCGCUCGGCACCU
rnacentral:rRNA from 1 species